CAGCGCCACAAGUGGCAAUCAUAAUUAUUGGGCCUAAAGCGUCCGUAGCUGGUUUGGUAAAUCUUUUGUGAAAUCGUACAGCUUAACUGUAUGGACUGCGAAAGACACUGCUAGACUUGAGACCGGGAGGAGUUGAGGGUAUUCUUGGUGGAGCGGUAAAAUGCUAUAAUCCCAAGAGGACCACCUGUGGCGAAGGCGCUCAACUAGAACGGUUCUGACAGUGAGGGACGAAAGCCAGGGGAGCAAACCGGAUUAGAUACCCGAGUAGUCC
rnacentral:rRNA from 1 species